rnacentral:lncRNA from 1 species
CAAGGUAAUAGAUCCUUAAAUAAUAAAGUGAAAGGGGAGAUAGGAAAGUUGGGUGGGAACAAAACUAGCUCAGUGUGUUAGAGAGAUUAUUGUUUGAGUUCCCAGUAUUUAACGGCUGGGUUCGCAGUGGGGCAACUGAAUUCAGCAGCAGUGUUGUUCUGGCCAGUUAUUCGGUGGGAAUGUCGACCUGAGCAACAACACCGUGAAAAAGCCAGAGGGCCUGUAGAAGCAGCCGGAAUCAACGGAGCACAGACAAUUCAGAUUCUUCAUCCAGGGACUGCUGCCGCACUGAAGCCAAGACUCACUAACAGCCACUGCUAGGAAGGUGACAACACCUCACGAUAAACUCUUGACAAUCAUAUAAAUUAAAGUGUAGCACAGAACAGAGCUCCUUUUGUGGCAAGGCCAAAGAACGUCAAUGCAACAACCAAACACCAUAUGCCAGGAAACCUGAACAUUCUGUUAGGCACAAACCCCGUUGGAGGACAAAUUCACCUCAAAUAUGGAUGUCAGAAGAAGAAAACGACAUGAGACAAGUGUUAUUUUAUGCCCUGAACACACCACUUUACAUGGUGGCUUUUAGCACUCUGUUUACAGAAAGCUAAACUUUCAUGUCUUAGAAAGGAAAUAGCUACAGGAGCCAAUUAAAGGACCAAACUGCUUUCUUAAAAUGUACCAGAACCUUAACAAAGUCCGCUAAAAUAUGACUUUCAGGAGGACAUGAGCAAUUGUUAUUUGAAAUCCAACAACACCACCAAAACUUUCUAGCCCUGUUUUGAUGUUCCUCCUCUAUUAGGAAGCUUAUAAUUAGUUUAUGAUACAUUUAUAAAGAAUCAAGAAGUAAUCAAUGAAGAAAUUAGUGACAUUUUAGUGAAUAAUUAGUGAAUAAUUAAUAAAUAAAUGAAUGAAGACA